rnacentral:rRNA from 1 species
CGAUGGUUCAUUCAAAUUUCUGCCCUAUCAACUUUCGAUGGUAGAGUAGUGGUCUACCAUGGUUUCAACGGGUAACGGGGAAUUAGGGUUCUAUUCCGGAGAGGGAGCCUGAGAAACGGCUACCGGAAUCCAAGGAAGGCAGCAGGCGCGCAAAAUUACCCAAUCCCGACACGGGGAGGUAGUGACAAUAAAUACUGAUACAGGGCUCUUUUGGGUCUUGUAAUUGGAAUGAGUACAAUUUAAAUCCCUUAACGAGGAACAAUUGGAGGGCAAGUCUGGUGCCAGCGGCCGGGUAAAUUCCAGGCUCCAAUAGCGUAUAUUAAAGUUGGUUGCAGUUAAAAAGCUCGUAAGUUGAACCUUGGGCCUUGGUUGGCCGGGUCCGGCCUCACCGGUGUGCACUGGUCCGGCCGGGCCUUUCCUUCUGGGGAAGCCGAUGCCCUUCACUGGGUGUGUCGGG